AGCAGCCGCGGUAAUUCCAGCUCCAAUAGCGUAUAUUAAAGUUGUUGCAGUUAAAAAGCUCGUAGUUGAAUUUCGGGAUCAGUACGCUGGUCGUGCCUUUGGUAUGUACUGGUGUCACUGAUUCCUCCCUUCUGAAGAACCGUUAUGCCAUUUAUUUGGUGUGGCGGGGAAUCAGGACUGUUACUUUGAAAAAAUUAGAGUGUUUAAAGCAGGCUCGCGCUUGAAUACAUUAGCAUGGAAUAAUGAAAUAGGACGUUUGAUCCUAUUUUGUUGGUUUCUAGGAUCGACGUAAUGAUUAAUAGGGAUAGUUGGGGGCAUUAGUAUUCAAUUGUCAGAGGUGAAAUUCUUGGAUUUAUUGAAGACUAACUACUGCGAAAGCAUUUGCCAAGGAUGUUUUCAUUAAUCAAGAACGAAAGUUAGGGGAUCGAAGACGAUCAGAUACCGUCGUAGUCUUAACCAUAAACUAUGCCGACUAGGGAUCGGAUGAUG
rnacentral:rRNA from 1 species